UAAUCUAUGCUAAACAUGAAAAACUACACUACUCAGCCACAGCCUGCCUUUGUAAAGCUUGGAUGUGCUGGCACAAAGAUGAAACAAUGCCAGCAACUCCAGCAGGACCAAGAAGAAAGCCUGAGCUGCAGCUGGAAUUCAGAAAUAGUAUUCUGAAAACUGGAAAAAGUAUUUGAGGAAAUAUUUGGAAACCAAAGUCAUAUGCAUUGAUGUGAAGAAAAAAAUCACCCUAGCUGGAAUGAUAGAUUCUGAGCACAGCAUCAAACAAAAGCAGCCAAGAGAUAUCUGCCUAGACACACCAGGAUGGAAUCUGGGGAAUGUGAAGUGGAAGCUAAGCAGUGCCGGCAGCACCUGGGAGCAGCCAGCCUCCAUACCUGCUUUGGGAAGACACAGAAGAGAAGUCUCAAGCUCAAGGGGGACCGGUUAAUAUGAGUUUCUGAAAGGACCUACCACCAUCCAUGCAGUAGAGGGAUUAAAUUACUGAAGACCAGAAGACAAAGAGAGAAAAACAUUUGGGGUCUGUGGCUUACUGCCAUUAAGACAUAUGUAAGUACAUGAGGCAGUUGGGUACAACCCCUCUCUGCAAAUAUUCAGUCUCCAUAUGAGGUUUAAGCAUCUGACUUCAGUUGCUGCCAGUAAAAUAUAUUAGACUGAAAAUGUUUCAGCAUGAAAGGCAGCCACUGAAGCCAACAUCAGGGCUUCUUUUUCCCUCAAAUAUGAGGGCAAAGCCUAAUAGUGAAAGUCAGCAAAUGAGGAAAACCAAGUCAUUCUUUGUUAGAAUGAAACUUGUUGAGAGCCAGAGCACAACAGCAGCACGGAGAAGUUCUGUUGGAGCCUGCAGUGAUUUGCAUGAGAUCAUCACCCCUCUGCUAGCAUACGGCACUUUCAGAAGGGUUGCUGAUUCCUGCUGAAUUGGGGCUGGUUUUCUCUUUUUUCCUGUCCUGUUGACACACUGCUUACAAGAGUUCACCAAGGUCAGGUUUGCCUUCUUCUGUGCUGUUAAAAAAUGGAAAACCAGUGGAGAUGUCAAAGGGGUCAGACUAAAGAAGCUGGCGUGAUUUCUGCUACAGAGCUGCUGUAUAGUCUGGGAAGUCUCUGCCAGAUUCAUUUGGUUUCAGCCGGGGGUUUCAAACAGACAGGUGAUGUCAAGUUUCUGCAGAGUUUUGUCUGGCUGUGGUUAACUAUUACUUUAAUUAAAUAAAUUCAGAUUUGGUU
rnacentral:lncRNA from 7 species